AUUUUGGGCGAUGGGGGAAAACCUGAUCAAGCCAUCCCGCGUGUAUGAUGAAUGCCUUNGGGUUGNANAGUACUUUUGGCAGAGANAAAAAGGUAUCUCAUAAUACGAGAUACUGCUGACGGUAUCUGCAGAAUUAGCACCGGCCAACUACGUGCCCGCAGCCGCGGUAAUACGUAGGGUGCACGUGUUAAUCGGAAUUACCGGGCGUAAAGCGGGUGUAGGCGGUUCGGAAAGAAAGAUGUGAAACCCCAGGGCUCAACCUUGGAACUGCAUUUUUAACUGCCGAGCUAGAGUAUGUCAGAGGGGGGUAGAAUUCCACGUGUAGCAGUGAAAUGCGUAGAUAUGUGGAGGAAUACCGAUGGCGAAGGCAGCCCCCUGGGAUAAUACUGACGCUCAGACACGAAAGCGUGGGGAGCAAACA
rnacentral:rRNA from 1 species